CAGAGAUGAAUUCAAAGAGGAGCUGCUGAAGGAGUUUAAGGAGUUGGGCUUUAAUGGUGAGGAGAAGAUUCCUUUCUCCACGCUAUGCCAGCAUCCCUUUCUGCAGGACCUGAUGGAAGGAUCCUCACAGUACCUGCUUCCUGACAUUCACAAAAUU